rnacentral:rRNA from 1 species
CCUACGGGAGGCAGCAGUGGGGAAUAUUGGACAAUGGGCGAAAGCCUGAUCCAGCCAUGCCGCGUGUGUGAAGAAGGCCUUCGGGUUGUAAAGCACUUUCAGUGGGGAAGAAAGCCUUGGGGCUAAUACCCUCGAGGAAGGACAUCACCCACAGAAGAAGCACCGGCUAACUCCGUGCCAGCAGCCGCGGUAAUACGGAGGGUGCGAGCGUUAAUCGGAAUUACUGGGCGUAAAGCGCGCGUAGGCGGUCUGAUAAGCCGGUUGUGAAAGCCCCGGGCUCAACCUGGGAACGGCAUCCGGAACUGUCAGGCUAGAGUGCAGGAGAGGAAGGUAGAAUUCCCGGUGUAGCGGUGAAAUGCGUAGAGAUCGGGAGGAAUACCAGUGGCGAAGGCGUCCUUCUGGACUGACACUGACGCUGAGGUGCGAAAGCGUGGGUAGCAAACAGGAUUAGAUACCCGGGUAGUC